rnacentral:rRNA from 1 species
GGUAGCACAGAGAGCUUGCUCUCGGGUGACGAGGGGCGGACGGGUGAGUAAUGUCUGGGAAACUGCCUGAUGGAGGGGGAUAACUACUGGAAACGGUAGCUAAUACCGCAUAACGUCGGAAGACCAAAGUGGGGGACCUUCGGGCCUCAUGCCAUCAGAUGUGCCCAGAUGGGAUUAGCUUGUAGGUGGGGUAACGGCUCACCUAGGCGACGAUCCCUAGCUGGUCUGAGAGGAUGACCAGCCACACUGGAACUGAGACACGGUCCAGACUCCUACGGGAGGCAGCAGUGGGGAAUAUUGCACAAUGGGCGCAAGCCUGAUGCAGCCAUGCCGCGUGUAUGAAGAAGGCCUUCGGGUUGUAAAGUACUUUCAGCGAGGAGGAAGGCGAUAAGGUUAAUAACCUUGUCGAUUGACGUUACUCGCAGAAGAAGCACCGGCUAACUCCGUGCCAGCAGCCGCGGUAAUACGGAGGGUGCAAGCGUUAAUCGGAAUUACUGGGCGUAAAGCGCACGCAGGCGGUCUGUCAAGUCGGAUGUGAAAUCCCCGGGCUCAACCUGGGAACUGCAUCCGAAACUGGCAGGCUAGAGUCUUGUAGAGGGGGGUAGAAUUCCAGGUGUAGCGGUGAAAUGCGUAGAGAUCUGGAGGAAUACCGGUGGCGAAGGCGGCCCCCUGGACAAAAACUGACGCUCAGGUGCGAAAGCGUGGGGAGCAAACAG